rnacentral:tRNA from 1 species
UGUCUCAGAUGGUAAAGAAUCUGCCUGCAAUGCAGGAGACCCAGGUUCAACCCCUGG